rnacentral:tRNA from 1 species
GCGGGUGUGGUAUAAUGGCAGCACGCGAGCUUCCCAAGCUUGAGACGAGGGUCCGAUUCCCUUCACCCGCACCA